UAUGCUUUGUUCAAGGGCUAAGCCUGCACGUCUCAGCGCAAAUGGAGCGACAGUGGAUCUGUGAAUGGCUCCUUACAUCAGCAGUCAUCUACGUGAUAGAGUGUGCUCGGUCAUCUAUGCAAUGUGUGGAACCCUUUGGACAUCCACCAAAACCUUGUGGCUAAUACACGCGUGAACCAGUCAGCCAUGCGACACUCGGUGCGACUCUCAGGACCACUUCGGUGGCCCUAGUCCAACCGGUGGUGGCGGAUGAACGCCCAGCUGAUACAAAGACCAGCGGCCGUUACAGGCCAGUGUGUUGUUCAUGGUUGACUCAGGCUGCCCUCUGUGCCGCAGUGUUGCAGAUUUCGUGGCGCGUCAUCCCCCCGGGGAUGGCCGUGUCCCUGCUUGAUCGCAAGAGCUUCUGACCUAUCAGCUUGACUGUGGUGUAUUGGACCACAGUGGCCUUGACGGGUAACGGAGAAUCAGGGUUCGAUUCCGGAGAGGGAGCCUGAGAGACGGCUACCACUACCAAGGUGGGCAGCAGGCACGCAAAUUGCCCCAUGCAAAGACAGUCUGUGAGGCAGCGACGAACAGUAGCAAUCCUGUCGGCAAUCAAUGCCGAUGGGACUUGGAAUGGAUGCUAUCCAAAGACAGUCAUGAGUAUCAACUGGAGGGCAAUCUGNUGCCAGCAGCUGCGGUAAUUCCAGCUCCAAGAGCGUAUACUAACAUUGCUGCUGUUAAAACACUUGUAGUCUGCUGCCGGGCUGCAGGUCUGCUGGGUGGCCGGCUGUUGUCUUGGUGUUGGGGCCCGGUUCGCCGGGUCCUGGGCCUUGAUAGCACCGGAUUCAACCCCCAGUGGUACGUCCCUGCGCCCAACUAUUCUGUAGACGGUGAGAAUUGCCCCUGCCGAAAGCCUGCUUCAUUGCAGGCCAAAGCGGACGUUCGCCUUCCACUCUGGCCACGGACACCAAGGGGACCCGGUCUCGUGCCGGGCACACACCCCUGUCCACCACCGGGGCCCACCGUCAGUGACACCCUGGAAAACUCAGUUUGCUCAAAGAAACCUCGCGACGGCUGAAUGUCCAUCCAUGGAAUGUCAAGGCAUCGACCGAGUGUGGCAUUGGAGUUGUGCUGGCCUUGGGGCCCACUCUGGCAACCUGGUGAGUGUUCCACAGGUCCAACCAUCGAUGUAGAUGGGCGUUGGGGUAAAAUAGGGAGCGCCAGAGGUGAAUUUUAGAUGCUGCCAGAUCCCUGCAGGAAGGCGUUCUGCAAGUGCACGUCCGUCGAUCAAGAAUGAGAGUUCGGGGGGCAAAAUGAUCAGACACGUCGUGGUCCGGCCACUGUAACGAUGCCGGCCAGCCUUGGCAGGCAAGAAGACCUGUCCGGGCCACUCCUCCCACAACGAGAAAUCCACAGCCUGUGGGUUCAGGGGGGAGUACUGUCGCAAGGUGAAACUUAAAGGAAUUGACGGAAUGGCACCACAAGGCGUGGAGUAUGCGGCUUAAUUUGACUCAACGCGGGGAAUGUUACCAGGUCAGGACGCAACUGGGAUUGACAGAUUGAGAGCUCUUUCUUGAUUCUGUGGACGGUGGUGCAUGGCCGCUCCUGAUUGGUGGAGUGAUUUGUCUGGUUGAUUCCGAUAACGAGUGAGACAUCUGCCUCCCAGUAGCCUGGGGCUCGCAUUUGGUAGGGCCUGGCCCCCUGGUGGCAGCCCCAUUGUGGGUGGUGGGUUCGCCCACUACUCCGUGGGGAGAUGUACCAGGUGGGCUCCCGAGAGCCUCCAGUUUAGCUUCUCUGAGGUGCUGUGUCCGCCACAAAGGGCACGCAUGCUAGAGCCAACAGCAGGUCUGUGAUGCUCCCAGAUGUCCUGGGCCGCACGCGCACUACAUUGUCACAGUGAAGGUGUUGUCCAAGCCCACCCCGGUGGGCCCUGUCCUGAAGAGGAUGGGAAAUCCUGCAAGCCUGUGACGUACUGGGGAUAGAUGAUUGCAACUGUCUGCCUUGAACGUGGAAUGCCUAGUAUGCCUGGGUCAUCAGCCCAGACCGAUUGUGUCCCUGCCAUUUGUACACACCGCCCGUCGUUGCUACCGAUGGUGGCUGGAUAGAGUCAUCAGGAGGUCAGGGCCGCGGGUCCCUCGGGGCCAGUAGAGUGGUCACAGCCGAAAUUGGACAAUGUCCAGCUGCUAGAGGAAGCAAAAGUCGUAACAAGGUUGCUGUAGGUGAACCUGCAGAAGGAUCAU
rnacentral:rRNA from 1 species